rnacentral:rRNA from 1 species
AGGAUUAGAUACCCUGGUAGUCCACGCCGUAAACGAUGAGUGCUAGGUGUUGGGGGGUUCCACCCUCAGUGCUGAAGUUAACACAUUAAGCACUCCGCCUGGGGAGUACGACCGCAAGGUUGAAACUCAAAGGAAUUGACGGGGGCCCGCACAAGCAGUGGAGCAUGUGGUUUAAUUCGAAGCAACGCGAAGAACCUUACCAGGUCUUGACAUCCUCUGACAAUCCUGGAGACAGGACGUUCCCCUUCGGGGGACAGAGUGACAGGUGGUGCAUGGUUGUCGUCAGCUCGUGUCGUGAGAUGUUGGGUUAAGUCCCGCAACGAGCGCAACCCUUGAUCUUAGUUGCCAGCAUUCAGUUGGGCACUCUAAGGUGACUGCCGGUGACAAACCGGAGGAAGGUGGGGAUGACGUCAAAUCAUCAUGCCCCUUAUGACCUGGGCUACACACGUGCUACAAUGGACGGUACAAAGGGCAGCGACACCGCGAGGUGAAGCGAAUCCCAUAAAGCCGUUCUCAGUUCGGAUUGCAGGCUGCAACUCGCCUGCAUGAAGCCGGAAUUGCUAGUAAUCGCGGAUCAGCA